rnacentral:rRNA from 1 species
AACGAACGCUGGCGGCAGGCCUAACACAUGCAAGUCGAGCGCAUCCUUCGGGCUGAGUGGCGGACGGGUGAGUAACGCGUGGGAAUCUACCUUUUGCUACGGAAUAGCUCCGGGAAACUGGUAUUAAUACCGGAUGUGCUCUUAGGGGGAAAGAUUUAUCGGCAAGGGAUGAGCCCGCGUUGGAUUAGCUAGUUGGUAGGGUAAAGGCCUACCAAGGCGACGAUCCAUAGCUGGUCUGAGAGGAUGAUCAGCCACAUUGGGACUGAGACACGGCCCAGACUCCUACGGGAGGCAGCAGUGGGGAAUAUUGGACAAUGGGCGCAAGCCUGAUCCAGCCAUGCCGCGUGAGUGAUGAAGGCCUUAGGGUUGUAAAGCUCUUUCACCGGAGAAGAUAAUGACGGUAGCCGGAGAAGAAGCCCCGGCUAACUUCGUG